GUCCUAGCUGUAAACGGUGCACGCUUGCCGUAGGUGGAAUCGACCCCGCCUGUGGCGAAGCUAACGCGUUAAGCGUGCCGCCUGGGAAGUACGGUCGCAAGAUUAAAACUCAAAGAAAUUGACGGGGCCUGCACAAGCGGUGGAGUAUGUGGCUUAAUUCGAUGCAACGCGAAGAACCUUACCUGGCCUUGACAUGCAAGUAGUAGAAGCCUGAAAGGGUGACGAGGUAGCAAUACCAGCUUGCACAGGUGCUGCAUGGCUGUCGU
rnacentral:rRNA from 1 species